rnacentral:rRNA from 1 species
UACGUAGGGGGCUAGCGUUGUCCGGAUUUAUUGGGCGUAAAGAGCGUGUAGGCGGCCAUGUAGGUCCGGUGUGAAAACUCGAGGCUUAACCUCGAGAUGUCAUCGAACUGAACUUUGGCUAGAGUCCGGAAGAGGAGAGUGGAAUUCCUGGUGUAGCGGUGAAAUGCGCAGAUAUCAGGAAGAACACCAAUGGCGAAAGCAGCUCUCUGGGACGGUACUGACGCUGAGACGCGAAAGCGUGGGGAGCGAACAGG